AACGAACGCUGGCGGCAUGCCUAACACAUGCAAAGUCGAACGAGACCUUCGGGUCUAGUGGCGCACGGGUGCGUAACGCGUGGGAAUCUGCCCCUUGGUUCGGAAUAACAGCGAGAAAUUGCUGCUAAUACCGGAUAAUGACGUAAGUCCAAAGAUUUAUCGCCAAGGGAUGAGCCCGCGUAGGAUUAGCUAGUUGGUGUGGUAAAGGCGCACCAAGGCGACGAUCCUUAGCUGGUCUGAGAGGAUGAUCAGCCACACUGGGACUGAGACACGGCCCAGACUCCUACGGGAGGCAGCAGUGGGGAAUAUUGGACAAUGGGCGAAAGCCUGAUCCAGCAAUGCCGCGUGAGUGAUGAAGGCCUUAGGGUUGUAAAG
rnacentral:rRNA from 1 species